rnacentral:tRNA from 1 species
UUCUCUGACCAGGGUUCUAACCUGGGUUAUUGCGGCCACAACGCAAUGUCCUAACUACUAGACGAUCACGCCAGGUAAAA